rnacentral:tRNA from 1 species
GUCUCUGUGGCGCAAUCGGUUAGCUGCUCGGCUGUUAACCUAAAGGUUGGUGGUUCGAGCCCACCCAGGGACG